rnacentral:rRNA from 1 species
AGCGGAGGAAAAGAAACCAACAGGGAUUGCCUCAGUAACGGCGAGUGAAGCGGCAACAGCUCAAAUUUGAAAUCUGGCCCUAGGCCCGAGUUGUAAUUUGCAGAGGAUGCUUUUGGUGCGGUGCCUUCCAAGUUCCCUAGAACGGGACGCCAGAGAGGGUGAGAGCCCCGUACAGUUGGACACCAAGCCUUUGUAAAGCUCCUUCGACGAGUCGAGUAGUUUGGGAAUGCUGCUCAAAAUGGGAGGUAUAUUUCUUCUAAAGCUAAAUACCGGCCAGAGACCGAUAGCGCACAAGUAGAGUGAUCGAAAGAUGAAAAGCACUUUGAAAAGAGGGUUAAACAGCACGUGAAAUUGUUAAAAGGGAAGCGCUUGUGACCAGACUUGCGUCCGGUGAAUCACCCAGCUCUCGCGGCUGGGGCACUUCGCCGGCUCAGGCCAGCAUCAGCUCGCUGUCGGGGACAAAAGCUUCAGGAACGUAGCUCUCUUCGGGGAGUGUUAUAGCCUGUUGCACAAUACCCUUCGGCGGGCUGAGGUACGCGCUCCGCAAGGAUGCUGGCAUAAUGGUCAUCAGCGACCCGUCUUGAAACACGGACCAAGGAGUCAACCUUAUGUGCGAGUGUUCGGGUGUCAAACCCCUACGCGUAAUGAAAGUGAACGCAGGUGAGAGCUUCGGCGCAUCAUCGACCGAUCCUGAUGUUCUCGGAUGGAUUUGAGUAAGAGCAUAUAGGGUUGGACCCGAAAGAAGGUGAACUAUGCGUGUAUAGGGUGAAGCCAGAGGAAACUCUGGUGGAGGCUCGCAGCGGUUCUGACGUGCAAAUCGAUCGUCAAAUAUGCGCAUGGGGGCGAAAGACUAAUCGAACC